GAAAUGAAAACGGCAGUUGGCUGGGGAUUGG
rnacentral:sRNA from 1 species